CCUACGGGAGGCAGCAGUGAGGAAUAUUGGUCAAUGGACGAGAGUCUGAACCAGCCAAGCCGCGUGAAGGAUGACUGCCCUAUGGGUUGUAAACUUCUUUUAUAAGGGAAUAAAUCGCGGUACGUGUGUCUUUUUGCACGUAUUUUAUGAAUAAGGAUCGGCUAACUCCGUGCCAGCAGCCGCGGUAAUACGGAGGAUCCGAGCGUUAUCCGGAUUUAUUGGGUUUAAAGGGAGCGUAGAUGGGUUGAUAAGUCAGGUGUGAAAGUUUGCGGCUCAACCGUGAAAUUGCAAUUGAUACUGGCAGUCUAGAGUGCAGUUGAGGUAGGCGGAAUGCGUGGUGUAGCGGUGAAAUGCUUAGAUAUCACGAAGAACCCCGAUUGCGAAGGCAGCUUACUAAACUGUGACUGACGUUGAUGCUCGAAAGUGUGGGGAGCAAACAGGAUUAGAUACCCUAGUAGUC
rnacentral:rRNA from 1 species